AGUGUGUAAGUUGCUUAACUGAAGUUCAAUUUUAUUUUGAUUUCAACUCAGUUGAUUCCUAAGUUUUUCACUGCUAUAAAUUGGUAUUUUCAUCAAUAUAGGAUCCAUAAUAGAAGAAAUAUAGAUAAUUUAGAAUUGUUGGGAAAGGAUGUUAUUGAAUGUUAAUAUUGCAAAAACACCGAUCCUUACUUCAAACUGCACACUGAUAAACGUUUU
rnacentral:lncRNA from 1 species